UGGGGAAUUUUGGACAAUGGGCGAAAGCCUGAUCCAGCAAUGCCGCGUGUGUGAAGAAGGCCUUCGGGUUGUAAAGCACUUUUGUCCGGAAAGAAAUCCUCUGGGUUAAUACCUCGGGGGGAUGACGGUACCGGAAGAAUAAGCACCGGCUAACUACGUGCCAGCAGCCGCGGUAAUACGUAGGGUGCAAGCGUUAAUCGGAAUUACUGGGCGUAAAGCGUGCGCAGGCGGUUUUGUAAGACGGAUGUGAAAUCCCCGGGCUUAACCUGGGAACUGCAUUCGUGACUGCAAGGCUAGAGUAUGGCAGAGGGGGGUAGAAUUCCACGUGUGAGCAGUGAAAUGCGUAGAGAUGUGGAGGAAUACCGAUGGCGAAGGCAGCCCCCUGGGCCAAUACUGACNCUCAUGCGAACGAAGCGGUGGGAGCCAAACAAGGAUUAGAUACCCUGGUAGUCCACGCCCUAAACGAUGUCAACUAGUUGUUGGGGAUUCAUUUCCUUAGUAACGUAAGCUAACGCGUGAAAGUUGACCCGCCUGGGGAGUACGGUCGCAAGAUUAAAACUCAAAGGAAUUGACGGGGGAUCAUAGCUGUUUCCUG
rnacentral:rRNA from 1 species